CGCGGGGUGGAGCAGCUCGGUAGCUCGCUGGGCUCAUAACCCAGAGGUCGCAGAUUCAAAUCCUGUCCCCGCUA
rnacentral:tRNA from 4 species